rnacentral:rRNA from 1 species
UAAUACAGAGGGGGCAAGCGUUGUCCGGAUUUACUGGGCGUACAGCGCGCGCAGGCGGUUGCGUAUGUGAGCGGUGACAUCCGCGGGCUCAACCCGCGGCGGCCCGCUUACACAGCGCGACUGGAGGCAGGGAGAGGGAUGUGGAAUACCCGGUGGAGCGGUGAAAUGCGUAGAGAUCGGGUGGAACACCAGCGGCGAAGGCGGCAUCCUGGCCCUGUACUGACGCUGAGGCGCGAUAGCGUGGGGAGCAAACGGGAUUAGAUACCCCGGUAGUCCACGCCGUAAACGAUGUGGAGCCGGUGCUGGAUAGUGAUUGCGCUGUUCGGUGCCUAAGCUUACGCGAUGACUCCACCGCCUGGGAACUACGGCCGCAAGGCUA